CGCUGCGCUGGCUGCGGGACGACCGACCGCUGGAGGAUAGCGUCAGGCUCCUGGUCCGUCAUUGGACCAGUGCCGAAAACGUUUCCCGGUCUAGUCUACGGCUUCUGGAAGCGGUGCCACCGGACUCCGGCCUUUUCGGUUGCCAGGCGACCAAUGCGCGCGGCAGUGCACGGCUUACCAUCCGUCUGGAGAUCGAAGAAACGCCGCUACCGCCCAGUGGACUGCAGGUGGUGGAGGUCCACAGCCGUUCCGUCACGGUGGAGUGGAAUCCCCCAGCCAAAGUCAGCCGACACUUGUCCGGAUACCGGCUGGAGUACAAGGAGC